rnacentral:lncRNA from 1 species
AAAAAAAAAUCCUAGCAUUGGCCCUGAAUAAGGUGAAUUAAUGAUAGUAAAAACUAGAAUGGACAAUUCUAGUUUGAUUUACAUAUUCAAUGAUAUGUCUAACUGGAUCCAGUCUCUCGUCAGAGAAAAACUUGUUAAAUUAAUUCAACUUCUAAUAUGCCCUAAACUUGAACUUUUUUAUACCCAAAAAGGGGAGACAAAUAGAAAAUCGCUAUUUAUUCUAUAGCUCGAACUUAAUAAAGUUAAAGACCUAGCUAUACUUACCAAAGCUAUUAAAGCAAGGGUCUUUUUGCCAGUAUUUCAUAUGAUGAAACUAUCCAGACUCUGUGAAUCUCUAUAUUUAUUAAGGACCAUUUCAACAUUCCACGUACAUUUUGCGAUAUUUAAGUAACGGAGGAUUUAAAUUAAAUGAACAUUGCAAUAAUUUGAUCAACAAAUUAUCUGAUGAUAACACCUCCGGCCUUAAUUGAUUCUUUACUAAAGCUGUUUUUCUUGUUGCAAGGGUGCUAUUGGAAGACGUGGGAUGUGAUGCUAAGUAAGUAGUUACCACAUACCCUGACACGUUAAAGGAAGAUAAACCCUCUCCUGAAUAAAACUUAUAAGAAAUUUUAAAAACCCCAUGUGUAAGUCCUCUUAGUUAAGGAACAAAUAUCAGAAAAAAAAUUAUUAAUUGCAUUUGAAUCGAAACCUUAAUUUAAUAAAGGCCCUUCUAAAUCAACCAUGCUAUCAGAAUCCCUAAUUCUUCGAGGUUCUGAGUGUUUAGGCUCGAGAGAAUUUUCCUCGCUUCCCCCAAUCAUAGUGACUCCCUUCAUACCUCCUGCAACUGUGGGAACCAUUUUGCCCCUGUUCAUUAGGGAGUUAUCAGAAUUGGUGAGGAAUAAUUUUGUUUUUCCUAUCUGCUUGUAACUCUCGGUAGCAGUAGAACAAGAAACUUGGAACAAGUUACCUUUCUUCUUCCACCUAAUGGAGUAUGCAUCUAAAACCUCCGCUUGACCGUUUCUCAUCGAAGAUACAAUAUUUGACUUUGCAUGGAAAUAUCUGGACAAGAAGAAAUCCACCUCGGGUUGGAACAAACGGGAGGUUAUUUGGUUGAAUACUUCUUCCUUCAGUCAGAACUUUUAUCAUGUAUAAAGAGACUCCCAUGAUAAAAAGUCGGCUUGUGUGUUCUCUGUUGAAAAGAAUCCAGACAGAAUCCUCCUCCUGGAUUGAUGUUUUAAGGGGUUCUUUGAAGGAAGAGACUAAAAGUAUCUUUCUAGCGUUCCUAAUGAGUUUUCCAUUCCUUUUCGGACCGUGUAAAAAACAUACCCUUCCACAAAAGUGAAGGGUUCCAUGAAGGAAACAUGGAAAUUCACCCAUUCCUUUAAUCUCAUGGCUAUGACUUCGAAAAAAAUUGGUUUCCUUCCUCGAUUACUGCUUAGUCCAAAAGAUUGGCAGAGCGUGCACCGUUCAGCCAUUAUUUUGUUCCGUUCCGCGUUCCUAUUAUUAUGUAGUAUCGGGCAUGUACAGUAUCAAGGACUCCUGUAAGCAGGACCGGGCACGUGCAAACAUGAAUUGAAAUACGCGUGCAACAUGAGGGUAUCGAAAAUAAACAAUGCAACGUUUUUGGGUGUAGAACAGGCUAUGACAACGAGCCACAACAGUCUGGUGUUAUGAUCCAUCUGUGACCAAAUUAAGAGAGAAUCCCGGACUUGAUAUCCCCUGGGUGAGAGCCAUUCCAAGAGAAACAGAUCUGAGGAAGACAGAUAAGGUGCAAUCCAAAAGUACAAAGCUGUGUUCCAUGCAUUUCAACGACCUUGAUUUAAUCUGUACCUCAAACCAGAUGUAGAACCAUCCCUAUGGCCAAACUCCCCCAACUACCUCUCAACUCCUACAGCGUCAUCAAGGCCAACUCCAGCUGCGAACACGUCACGUAGGGCUCAACAGUUCAAUGACCUAAAAGAGCAUCUAGAACUUGAACUCUUGAAUGAGGAGUCUGUCCUCUCUUUGGAAUAACUUGCAGACAAAUUGGCUAAGGUACACUCCCAUCAGACUUCAUCCUCAUCACAAAACCAAGUGUUGCCCUUUUGAAGCUAUCCCAUGAUGAAAAAUUGUGCCCCCAAGUAGUAGCCAACAUCUAUUGUGAUAUGUCAUUCAAAAUAAAUCACUCUGCUGUGUUGUUUGACAAAAAGGCAGUGGCACACAUCACCUCAAUAAGCAAAGUCAACACUGUGAUUCAAGCCAUCAAUUUUGCUUUUCUUUCUGGAAGCAAAAGAAGAAUUGAAUCCAAGAGAGACCUGGGAAGACAUUCUCAACAAGUCAGUGAAGUUUCUCAAUACCUCAGAGUUUGAACCUACACAAGCUUCAAAGCAUAUUCUGAGUCUUGUCAAAUUCUGAGGUAAAUAAGAUAUUUGUUAAUAGUAAGCUUAUUUAUGUAUCACUAUUUAAGAAAUUAAGCUCUGCUGAUGAAGACCUGGUAAAGCUGAGCUCAUUUUGACUAACUGGCAACCAGAUUACCUCCAGAAACUAGCUUCGAAGGGAGAGAGUAAUGCUUUCUACAUUGUUGCCGGGUAUAUUGGUUUUUGUUUGAAGAAGAACUGUACAUCAUACCAAGAGUUAAUGGUCAUCAGAGACACACCUCCGGACUCAAUAACCUUCGAUAGCCCAACCAAUCAGCAUGUAGACCUGAAAGAGUUCCAUGUUCUCUUAAAUCACAGCUACUCCUGAAGAGAAAGGCAGUUUACUUGGCACCCCAAAUUCUAGAGCUUCAUUUGUUGCCACAUUCAUUGAUAGAAUGCAGGACAGUUUAAACUCUGACAUUAUCGUCGUUGUGGGAGUAAAGUGCGAGGAAGGAUACUCCUGGUCAGCUUUUCUUCAAAGAAUUUCA